rnacentral:tRNA from 1 species
GGCCUCGUAGUUUAAUGGAUAGAACGAAGGUUUCCGGUACCUUUGGUAGGGGUUCGAUUCCCUUCGAGGCCG